rnacentral:rRNA from 1 species
GACGAACGCUGGCGGCGUGCUUAACACAUGCAAGUCGAACGGAAAGGCCCUGCUUUUGUGGGGUGCUCGAGUGGCGAACGGGUGAGUAACACGUGAGUAACCUGCCCUUGACUUUGGGAUAACUUCAGGAAACUGGGGCUAAUACCGGAUAGGAGCUCCUGCUGCAUGGUGGGGGUUGGAGAGUUUCGGCGGUUGGGGAUGGACUCGCGACUUAUCAGCUUGUUGGUGGGGUAGUGGCUUACCAAGGCUUUGACGGGUAGCCGGCCUGAGAGGGUGACCGGCCACAUUGGGACUGAGAUACGGCCCAGACUCCUACGGGAGGCAGCAGUGGGGAAUAUUGCACAAUGGGCGGAAGCCUGAUGCAGCAACGCCGCGUGCGGGAUGACGGCCUUCGGGUUGUAAACCGCUUUCGCCUGUGACGAAGCGUGAGUGACGGUAAUGGGUAAAGAAGCACCGGCUAACUACGUG